CAGCAGCCGCGGGAAUACGUAGGUGGCAAGCGUUGUCCGGAAUUAUUGGGCGUAAAGGGCUCGCAGGCGGUUUCUUAAGUCUGAUGUGAAAGCCCCCGGCUCAACCGGGGAGGGUCAUUGGAAACUGGGAAACUUGAGUGCAGAAGAGGAGAGUGGAAUUCCACGUGUAGCGGUGAAAUGCGUAGAGAUGUGGAGGAACACCAGUGGCGAAGGCGACUCUCUGGUCUGUAACUGACGCUGAGGAGCGAAAGCGUGGGGAGCGAACAGGAUUAGCCCCAGUAGUCCCUGUCUCUUAUACACA
rnacentral:rRNA from 1 species